AGCAGCCGCGGUAAUUCCAGCUCCAAUAGCGUAUAUUAAAGUUGUUGCAGUUAAAAAGCUCGUAGUUGAAUUUCGGGGUCAGUAGAUUGGUCGUGCCACUGGUAUGUACUGGUCUUACUGGCUCCUCCUUCCUGAUGAACCGUAAUGCCAUUAAUUUGGUGUUGCGGGGAAACUGGACUGUUACUUUGAAAAAAUUAGAGUGUUUAAAGCAGGCUAACGCUUGAAUACAUUAGCAUGGAAUAAUGAAAUAGGACGUUCGAUCUUAUUUUGUUGGUUUCUAGGAUUGACGUAAUGAUUAAUAGGGAUAGUUGGGGGCAUUAGUAUUCAAUUGUCAGAGGUGAAAUUCUUGGAUUUAUUGAAGACUAACUACUGCGAAAGCAUUUGCCAAGGAUGUUUUCAUUAAUCAAGAACGAAAGUUAGGGGAUCGAAGACGAUCAGAUACCGUCGUAGUCUUAACCAUAAACUAUGCCGACUAGGGAUCGGAUGAUGUUAAUUUUAUAAUGACUCAUUCGG
rnacentral:rRNA from 1 species